rnacentral:rRNA from 1 species
GACGAACGCUGGCGGCGUGCCUAAUACAUGCAAGUUGAGCGAUGAAGAUUGGUGCUUGCACCAAUUUGAAGAGCAGCGAACGGGUGAGUAACGCGUGGGGAAUCUGCCUUUGAGCGGGGGACAACAUUUGGAAACGAAUGCUAAUACCGCAUAACAACUUUAAACAUAAGUUUUAAGUUUGAAAGAUGCAAUUGCAUCACUCAAAGAUGAUCCCGCGUUGUAUUAGCUAGUUGGUGAGGUAAAGGCUCACCAAGGCGAUGAUACAUAGCCGACCUGAGAGGGUAAUCGGCCACAUUGGGACUGAGACACGGCCCAAACUCCUACGGGAGGCAGCAGUAGGGAAUCUUCGGCAAUGGGCGAAAGUCUGACCGAGCAACGCCGCGUGAGUGAAGAAGGUUUUCGGAUCGUAAAACUCUGUUGGUAGAGAAGAACGUUGGUGAGAGUGGAAAGCUCAUCAAGUGACGGUAACUACCCAGAAAGGGACGGCUAACUACGUG